UGGAAACUUUGGUGGUAGCAGGA
rnacentral:piRNA from 1 species